ensembl:snRNA U1 U1 spliceosomal RNA
AUACUUACCUGGCAGGGGCGAUAUCAUGAUCAUGAAGGUGGUUUUUCCAGGGUGAGGCUCAUCCAUUGUACUCCAGGCAGGCUGACCUCUGCAAUUUCCCUAAAUGCAGGAAACUUGACUUCAUAAUUUGUGAUAGUGGGGGACCAAGUUCACGCUUUCCCCUA